rnacentral:antisense_RNA from 1 species
GCUAACCUAUGAGAAGGGCUUCCGUGACGGCAACGUUCGGGAGCUUUUUUCUUUUGCGGC